CCUACGGGUGGCAGCAGUGGGGAAUAUUGGACAAUGGGCGAAAGCCUGAUCCAGCCAUGCCGCGUGUGUGAAGAAGGCCUUCGGGUUGUAAAGCACUUUCAGUGGGGAAGAAAGCCUUGGGGCUAAUACCCUCGAGGAAGGACAUCACCCACAGAAGAAGCACCGGCUAACUCCGUGCCAGCAGCCGCGGUAAUACGGAGGGUGCGAGCGUUAAUCGGAAUUACUGGGCGUAAAGCGCGCGUAGGCGGUCUGAUAAGCCGGUUGUGAAAGCCCCGGGCUCAACCUGGGAACGGCAUCCGGAACUGUCAGGCUAGAGUGCAGGAGAGGAAGGUAGAGUUCCCGGUGUAGCGGUGAAAUGCGUAGAGAUCGGGAGGAAUACCAGUGGCGAAGGCGGCCUUCUGGACUGACACUGACGCUGAGGUGCGAAAGCGUGGGUAGCAAACAGGAUUAGAUACCCUAGUAGUC
rnacentral:rRNA from 1 species